rnacentral:rRNA from 1 species
GAUGAACGCUGGCGGCGUGCCUAAUACAUGCAAGUCGAGCGAACGGACGAGAAGCUUGCUUCUCUGAUGUUAGCGGCUGACGGGUGAGUAACACGUGGAUAACCUACCUAUAAGACUGGGAUAACUUCGUGAAACCGGAGCUAAUACCGGAUAAUAUUUUGAACCGCAUGGUUCAAAAGUUAUAGACGGUCUUGCUGUCACUUAUAGAUGGUUCCGCGCUGCAUUAGCUAGUUGGUAAGGUAACGGCUUACCAAGGCAACGAUGCAUAGCCGACCUGAGAGGGUGAUCGGCCACACUGGAACUGAGACACGGUCCAGACUCCUACGGGAGGCAGCAGUAGGGAAUCUUCCGCAAUGGGCGAAAGCCUGACGGAGCAACGCCGCGUGAGUGAUGAAGGUCUUCGGAUCGUAAAACUCUGUUAUUAGGGAAGAACAUAUGUGGAAGUAACUGUGCACAUCUUGACGGUACCUAAUCAGAAAGCCACGGCUAACUACGUG